rnacentral:rRNA from 1 species
GAUGAACGCUGGCGGCGUGCCUAAUACAUGCAAGUCGAGCGAAAAGACGGUGAGCUUGUUCCCCUACCGUUAGCGGCGGACGGGCGAGUGACAAAUGGAUCGGCAUCUUAUUUUUCUUGGGUAAUUACGGGAGAACGGUGACGAUACUACAUAAUAUAUCCAACGGGUGGGUUCAAUAGUGCUAGACGGUUUUGCUGUUUCUUAUAGCUGGAUCCGCGCCGCAUUAGCUAGUUGGUAAGGUAACGGCUUACCAAGGCGACGAUGCGUAGCCGAGCUGAGAGGAUGAUCAGCCACACUGGAACUGAGACACGGUCCAGACUCCUACGGGAGGCAGCAGUGGGGAAUCUUGCACAAUGGGCGAAAGCCUGACCGAGCCACACCGCGUGGGUGAAGAAGGUCUUCGGAUCGUAAAGCCCUGUUAUUAGGGAAGAACAGAUGUGUGAGUAACCAUGCACGUCUUGACGGUACCUAAACAGAAAGCAACGGCUAACUACGUG